GAAAAUCACGUGAAAUUCUAAAAAAGCUUCUCUCCGUGUUUUCUAGUUGUUUUUUCAGCCUUGGUGUAAGUUUCAUGUAGAAAAGGGCAUAGAAUUAUUAGAACAGACAAACUAGACUUUCUCGGGAGAGAUGGAAGAAAAGUCUGCUGAUUGCAGUUCUGCUUUUCUUGUCUUCCCUUCGACUGUCAUUUUCUCUCCCCUGCUGUUCAAAUAGGCAGCAAUUAAUUGCUCUGCUGAAGAGUUUGCUGUACUAAGUGUCUGUCAAAUUGAUGCCUUCAACUCAAGAUAGCACCUGCUCCUUAGUUACAAAAAGUUCCUCACAGGAAAUUUUCAGGCGUGCCCAUAAAUCUCCUCGCUGUUUGUUUGGGAGAACAGGGUUUUCUCGUCUGUAACAGAAUAGUUGUGGCAUUUGCUAUUGAAUGCUGGUGGCAGUCUAGUCAGAAGAGGACCCCGUGCUUCACUAAUUUUCCCUUUUUGUUGUUGGGGGUGACUUCUUCCCAGGGAUGUUAUUCUUGACCCCCCCGGGGCAAACGGAGGUGUCAGCGUCAGGAGCCAUCCUAACUGAGGCCCUGGUAGGCUGCCUCUUUUCCUUCGGUCGCUGUGGACACUGUGCCGGACGCCUCUGGCAGGACUAACCCUGGGGCUUUUAUGUCCAGCGUGCUGUGCUGUGUGCCUGCAGAAUUGCCACGAGAGGAAAUACUUCAGAGGGGCUUCCCUCCAGAUAAGCCCUGAACGUGCCAGGAGGUUUCAGCCGGGAGGAAAGGAGCUGUGGAAGAAAAGCAGCCUAAAAAUAGCCAGCGGGGAUCGUCAGGUUUUCCAGGCAAGAAGAACAAGGAGAGAGAUGAGGGAAUCGGGUUCCAAUUCCUAAUGAUUUGGUGGGUGCAGGAAUGAUUUGUGUGUGUUUUCCAGUCCCUUUUGAUUCCUGAGAUGAUUUUAAAAUGAUGGCUUUAGCAAUCAACUAAAUCGGAGAUGUUGUUUUUGAGAGGAAAUGGUGCCAAAUAAAUGCAGAGUUUUGGGUCA